ACGCACGCUGGCGGCGUGCUUCACCCCUGCCAGUCGAACGGAAAGGCCCUGCUUUUGUGGGGUGCUCGAGUGGCGAACGGGUGAGUAACACGUGAGUAACCUGCCCUUGACUUUGGGAUAACUUCAGGAAACUGGGGCUAAUACCGGAUAGGAGCUCCUGCUGCAUGGUGGGGGUUGGAAAGUUUCGGCGGUUGGAGAUGGACUCGCGGCUUAUCAGCUUGUUGGUGGGGUAGUGGCUUACGAAGGCUUUGACGGGUAGCCGGCCUGAGAGGGUGGCCGGCCACAUGGGGACUGAGAUACGGCCCAGACUCCUACGGGAGGCAGCAGUGGGGAAUAUGGCACAAUGGGCGGAAGCCUGAUGCAGCAACGCCGCGUGCGGGAUGACGGCCUUCGGGUUGUAAACCGCUUUCGCCUGUGACGAAGCGUGAGUGACGGUAAUGGGUAAAGAAGCACCGGCUAACUACGUG
rnacentral:rRNA from 1 species